CCGUCCCUUCUGCGCACCGGCGACGACGGCGACGAUGUCGAGACAGUAUAAAACUGAGAGCCAACGGCGCGCCGACUUCAGUGGGCUUGGUGGCACCAUCCGAGACGCAAUGCUCAAACCUUUGUUCGUCUUCAUACAGGCCCAAUGGUGGACCGGUAGCCCAGGAAAGGUGGUGGUGAUCGGGUUCGAGUCCCGGACAAGGAGGAAUAUUUCAUCGACUUUGAAGCUUUUCUUUCGAGGAGCCCGUAUAGAUGUCCUUCGUAGCACUUGGUUAUAUUUGAAUGGAUUCCUCAUUUGUUUUUGUAAUAAAUACUGCUCUCCACCUUG